CCUACGGGAUGCAGCAGUGAGGAAUAUUGGUCAAUGGGCGUAAGCCUGAACCAGCCAAGUCGCGUGAGGGAUGAAGGUUCUAUGGAUCGUAAACCUCUUUUAUAAGGGAAUAAAGUGCGGGACGUGACCAGUUUUGUAUGUACCUUAUGAAUAAGGAUCGGCUAACUCCGUGCCAGCAGCCGCGGUAAUACGGAGGAUCCGAGCGUUAUCCGGAUUUAUUGGGUUUAACGGGUGCGUAGGCUGCCUUUUAAGUCAGCGGUGAAAGUCUGUGGCUCACCCAUAGAAUUGCCGUUGAAACUGGGAGGCUUGCUUAUGUUUGCGGCAGGCGGACUGCGUUGUGUAGCGGU
rnacentral:rRNA from 1 species